rnacentral:rRNA from 1 species
AUACGUAGGUCCCGAACGUUGCGCGAAAUUACUGGGCGUAAAGGGUCCGUAGGCGGUCUGGUAAGUGGAAGGUGAAAGCCUGGGGCUCAACUCCAGAAUUGCCUUCCAAACUGCCGGACUUGAGGCAGGGAGAGGUCGGCGGAAUUCCCGGUGUAGUGGUGAAAUGCGUAGAUAUCGGGAGGAGCACCAGUGGCGAAGGCGGCCGACUGGAACUGUCCUGACGCUGAGGGACGAAAGCCAGGGGAGCGAACCGGAUUAGAUACCCUAGUAGUCC